GACGAACGCUGGCGGCGUGCCUAAUACAUGCAAGUAGAACGCACAGUUUAUACCGUAGCUUGCUACACCAUAGACUGUGAGUUGCGAACGGGUGAGUAACGCGUAGGUAACCUGCCUGGUAGCGGGGGAUAACUAUUGGAAACGAUAGCUAAUACCGCAUAAUAUUAAUUAUUGCAUGAUAAUUAAUUGAAAGGUGCAAUUGCACCACUACCAGAUGGACCUGCGUUGUACUAGCUAGUAGGUGAGGUAACGGCUCACCUAGGCGACGAUACAUAGCCGACCUGAGAGGGUGAUCGGCCACACUGGGACUGAGACACGGCCCAGACUCCUACGGGAGGCAGCAGUAGGGAAUCUUCGGCAAUGGACGAAAGUCUGACCGAGCAACGCCGCGUGAGUGAAGAAGGUUUUCGGAUCGUAAAGCUCUGUUGUAAGAGAAGAACGGGUGUGAGAGUGGAAAGUUCACACUGUGACGGUAUCUUACCAGAAAGGGACGGCUAACUACGUG
rnacentral:rRNA from 1 species